UUACUCUGGUUUCUCUUCCAAUCCCAUAAAUCUUUCACCUUUUACUAAAGAUUUCCAUGAAGAAAAUACUUAGGUGUUUAUUAUAAUUGUAGAAAAUGAAAACUCAUGGUUAAUG